rnacentral:rRNA from 1 species
UACGAAGGGUGCAAACGUUGCUCGGAAUUAUUGGGCGUAAAGCGCACGUAGGCGGCAUUGCAAGUCGGAUGUGAAAUCUUAUGGCUUAACCAUAAAAGUGCAUCCGAAACUGCAGUGCUUGAGUACUUAAGAGGAUCGCGGAAUUCCCGGUGUAGAGGUGAAAUUCGUAGAUAUCGGGAGGAACAUCAGUGGCGAAGGCGGCCUUCUGGUCCAGUACUGACACUCAAGUGCGAAAGCGUGGGGAGCAAACAGG